GGAAAAUGUCUCUGGAAACUACAAGCUAGGAUGAACUUGACAACUGGGGCAGGAACACCGUGUGUGCACCCACAACGAACCGCGCCAGUUUGAGCUGAAACCAAAAAAAGUUAAGAAAGUGUCUAAGCGAAGCCGCACGAGCUCGCAGAGCUAAUCGCUUCAAGACGGUUGAGGAGCGAACAGGAUCACUGAGGCUGAGGCUUAUUCGUUCAAGAGAGGAUGAGAGCCGGAGAGGAGCUACAACCUGCAGAGAGGAAGGCCGGUGGGGGGGGAUAAGUAUAGAGAGCAGCGAUAAAGAGGUGAACAGACCGCCGCUGCCUUCCUCAUUCAGCCCCACGCAGAGGAUGAAUCUGUUUGCCUCCUGCGUGGAGACAAAAAUAGCUCCUAAUAAUGAAAGAUUGAUGCAAACCUGCAGGGUUGUGCAGGCUGCAGCCGUUAUAGUGGCUGGCUGCAUUCGGAAACACCAGGAGGACUGACAUCUCAAUGGACUCCCUAUUCCAUCACUAUCAGCUUACAGCCUAUAAUUACGCCCAAUCAUCUCGGAUCAAGCCUUUCGGCCUGAACGGCCCAGCGUAACAUCUGCUGCCUGGACGACCCGGCUUAGGGGGACUUUCAUAUGGGAAGAAUCGAUAGUUUCUGCAGCGUUCUUGACGGAAUGCAUCGAAGCGUGCUGCACAGCCUAAUGGACCCACAAGUUCCCAUCUGUUAGUGGAGGAGAUCCCAGCGAGUCCUCCCCUUUUCCUGUCCAAACACAAAACUCAGAGAGCAGGGAAAAAAAAAAAAAAAGCUGAUCAUUUCUAUUAGAAUUGCGGAAAACAAACAGACAAUCGCAGGACGGACAUGUGGUCCUUAACCGUUCAGGAAUUUUACAAGCAAGAAAACUGCAAAAUGUGUUUUGUUCUCAACUCGUUCUGUUGGUUUCAAACAUGACUUGUUAUUACAGGCAUUCAAUGUUAUUCUGCAUUUUUGAUGGUGUGCUAUUGCAUCUAUUUGCAUGGAAACGUGUGGACACUAUUGAAAUGAGGUACUGUGGUCAUAUGAGAAUUUAAGGGGAGACCGCUAUGACAACACUAAACUUACAGCCGAGGCUUCAGCCUAGGCUAACCGUUCUAACAUCUAAGUGUUAGAAUGACCUAGUCAAAGUCAUUUGGUCAGUCAGACUGAGAUUGCCCCAUUUGUGGGGAAGAAUGGCAAACCCCAGAAGACAUGUGGCUAUAACUGAAGCAAAAUAUGGUUUUAUAAAUGAUUGACUCAAGGAGCCUAAACACAACUGUAUGCCACACUUUUCAGAUUUUAGUUGUAGGGUUUUUGAAAACUUGAUGUUGGUCUAUCACAUGGUGUGCAACUUGUGGCUCUGGAGCUGCAAGUGG